rnacentral:lncRNA from 1 species
GUUUCUAUUUAGUUGCUUUUCAAGCAAGCUAUGUUUGGUGGUGAGACUGUACUAAGUUGGUGCUUGGUGCCAAGAUUUGGAAAUUUUUGAAAGUCUUGGUUCUUUAGACUUAGGGGCUGCAAUACACUCUUUAAAUCUCCAAAUGACGACUAGUGUCAAAAUAUACGUGCAAGAAAUGUUUCAAUUUAGUUGCUUUUCAAACAAGCUGUGUUUGGUGGUGAUACUGGACUAAGUUGGUGUUUGGUGCCAAGAUUUGGAAACCUUUGGAAGUCUUGGUUUUUUAGACUAAGGAGCAACAAUGCACUCUUUAAAU